AGAGUUUGAUCAUGGCUCAGGAUGAACGCUGGCGGUAUGCCUUAUACAUGCAAGUCGUACGAGAGUUUUUAACUCUAGUGGCGGACGGGUGAGUAACACGUAAGAAUUUGCCUUUAGGAGGGGGACAACAACUGGAAACGGUUGCUAAUACCCCAUAUGCUUUCGAGUGAAAUGGAUUUCCGCCUAAAGAGAAGCUUGCGGCUGAUUAGCUUGUUGGUAGGGUAAUGGCCUACCAAGGCGACGAUCAGUAUCUGGUUUGAGAGGACGAUCAGACACACUGGAACUGAGACACGGUCCAGACUCCUACGGGAGGCAGCAGUAGGGAAUUUUCCGCAAUGGGCGAAAGCCUGACGGAGCAAUACCGCGUGAGGGAUGACUGCCUAUGGGUUGUAAACCUCUUUUUUCAGGGAGGAAUAAAUGACGUGUACCUGAAGAAUAAGCAUCGGCUAACUCCGUGCCAGCAGCCGCGGUAAGACGGAGGAUGCAAGUGUUAUCCGGAAUCACUGGGCGUAAAGCGUCUGUAGGUGGCUCGACAAGUCAACUGUUAAAUCUUGAAGCUCAACUUCGAAAUCGCAGUCGAAACUAUCGAACUAGAGUAUAGUAGAGGUAAAGGGAAUUUCCAGUGGAGCGGUGAAAUGCGUAGAGAUUGGAAAGAACACCGAUGGCGAAGGCACUUUACUGGGCUAUUACUGACACUCAGAGACGAAAGCUAGGGUAGCAAAUGGGAUUAGAUACCCCAGUAGUCCUA
rnacentral:rRNA from 1 species